AAAUCAUAUGAUGAUUUUGGAUUAAAUUUCUCAUGACGGUCGUCUGAAAUUCAUACCUCUAUGUGGGGUUUGAUCAAUUGAUGAAUUUAUCCAGUUGUUCUGAUGGUU